AAGUUUCCCUUCCUUACACAGCGAGGUCCACCAUCAACGCCCCCUUCCCUGGCAAGCCACAGCCGUCCACGUUCCUGGCCACCAGCGACCUCCCUUCUCUAGCCCUUAGCAGCGAGCAACACCUCCUCCCCAUGGCUGCCCCCAGACCCCAGUCCCGUCCGCGCAUCCGCUCCCCCGUCAGCGACGCACCUAUUCUCCUCGACGUCGCCCAUGGCGUGGACGGCGACCUCCCUCACCCUGCACUCUGGUAUGUCACCGUAUUGCCCGCCUCCUUUCCCCGCACCGGCGCAGCCCCCUGUUGCGGCGGCCCCUUCCCCAAACAGCACGGCACCACGUGCUCCCCCUGCCGCGCCCGCACUCUCCUUCCCCAAACAGCACGGCCCCACGACGCUCACACUCUCCUUCCCUGGCGAUAUCCCCUCAUCUGCGCCUUGUCCCUCGGAGAUCCCCUUCCAUCUUCGGCACCGAGAGGAAAAUGGAUGGCAAUCCCAUCCAUCGGCGCCAAACCCUACACAUCCUCCAUAGUAGGCACCCGCCCCUCCUUACGCGGCACCAUCGGUGGGGAUAUCCCCCAAUCUGCUGGAAGGAGUCCGCGCCAAAUCAGAGCCCGAAAUCCGUGCCAAAUCCACGCUGGAUGAGGUGGUGGGGAGACCCCCCAAUCUGCGUCCCUUCUACAUGCCUACACAUCCUCCAUAGAAGGCGCCCUCCUACUAACCACUAAAAAACCCCUUCCACACGCUGACAACUCCAUAUAUAUUAGUCCAAAGGGAGAGCACGAUUAAGGCCACGCCUACCAGCUUCACCCUCCUCGCAUUUGUAAGUCCAAUUUUUAGAUUUAUGAUUUCAGAUGUUGAGUUGAUUUUGCAAACUGGUAAGUGUUUUGUUUCAUACGGCAACUCUGCACAUGGACAGAAUCACAGCUCUGUUAGCGUUGUUUUAUCAAGUUCUUCUAGCAGUUGAAGUAGUGUUUUCUUGGCAGAUGUUCGCCUUUAGGACAUUGCUGCGAGGGGAAUCGGAUAUGCCACAGGCUGCAUGUUGUUGGAGUUUCUAUGUAUCCCCAUAUCAAAUUUGUUUUUCCCUAAUCAGGGAACUCAAUUGUGCGAGUAAUAGCAGGAGCUCUUCCGAAAGGCCUUCACAUGUUAAUCCUAUCGAAGAAUAACAUAUCAAUUAUUGAACGCCUCAGAGAAUUGACACGAUUGCGCUUGUUGGAUAUCAACUAUAAUAGGAUAUCUAGAAUUGGCCAUGAUCAUCUGUUAGGAUUGGCCUCAUGUUCCUCUUUGAAGGAGUUGUAUCUGGUCGGUAACAAGAUCAGUGAGGUAGAUGGUCUUCACCGACUUCUGAAGCUCAAGGUGCAGAGGAUGCUAGGAAAAUACUCAAUAAUUAUGUGAGGGUUUUAAUUUAGUUGCUAGCUCGAUGAAAGACUAUGAUUCGCAAGACUGGAUAUUUUCCUGCUUAUGAAGAAGCGGUGGCAACCAAAUUUUCGAAAAAGUCGGGGCCAUUACUCAGAUGGUAAACAAACUUGGGCCAUGUAAAUGGUCGACCUUGCCUAAACUAUACCUGGACGUAUUGGAAAGCAAUGCUGGGAAAGCUAUGCCAUGAAAGAUAUUUGUAGCAGUGUUACAUGAUGGCAUCAAGUGCUGGGAAAAUAUUUAUUAAUUUAUGGUUUUGUUUCUAUGGAAUAUAGGAGUCAUGAUUUUGUGCAUUUGAUCAGAGACUACAUUAACUAGAGGAUACUUUCUUUUUUUCAAAAUUACAAAAACAAUACUAAGUGUACCUAUUAUUGUCUACUCGUCUCAUGAUGAUUACUAUGUAGAUAAAUUCUCUAAGCUAUGAACAGUGACCAAUGAAAUAUAUUCAUUUGCA